rnacentral:rRNA from 1 species
GACGAACGCUGGCGGCGUGCCUAACACAUGCCAGUAGAACGCUGAAGCGAGGAGCUUGCUCUUCUUGGAUGAGCUGCGAACGGGUGAGUAACGCGUAGGUAACCUGCCUGGUAGCGGGGGAUAACUAUGGGAAACGACAGCUGAUACCGCAUAAAACUGCUUACUGCAUGAUGAUUAAUUGAUAGAUGCAAUUGCAUCACUACCAGAUGGAUCUGCGUUGUAUUAGUUAGUUGGUGAGGUAACGGCUCACCAAGGGGACGAUACAUAGUCGACCUGAGGGGGUGGUCGGCCACCCUGGGACUGAGACACGGCCCAGACUCCUUCGGGAAGCAGCCAGAGGGGAACAUCGGCAAUGGGGGGAACCCUGACCGCACAACGCCGCGUGAGGGGAGAAGGUUUUCGGGUCGUAAAGCUCUGUUGUAAGAGAAGAACGGGUGUGAGAGUGGAAAGUUCACGCUGUGACGGUAUCUUACCAGAAAGGAACGGCUAACUACGUG